UGUUCUCUUUAGACAUCUUCUAUUCCUCCUGCAGGAUCAACCUUGGAAUAGUUAUGAUGUGGAUGGUAUAGCUGUUACACUGGUAAAUUGACAGCCAGUUUCUGUUUGGAGUCUAAUAUCUCCCCUUUGAAACUGUAUCCUGUUCUUCCUGUAGUGUUCCUUCUGUUCUAGUUUCCUGCUGCAUUCCUCUUUUGUAACUACCUUAGAGCUAAUUGUCUUUGUCUUAAGAAGUUUAUUAGAUACUGGCACUAAAAUUUUUAUCCUUUUGCCCAUAGGUUGCUGAAGUGGUGAUUUUAAUCCAAAAGCAUGGUGGAGUACAGCAGCUGAUGCAUUGAUCGCCAUAGCAUCGAUCCUCCGAAGUGGGAAGACCCUGAGGGAAAGGAGAACCAGGAAGUGGGAUGAGUAAUGCUAAAGGAAUUAUUAGCAGCACAUACACAGAGUGGUUCAUCGUGCUUUUUCCUUUAACUGACCUGACUAGUAUAAUUGAUGUUUUAUAAGAACAGUUUUUCCUCUUUCUGUGCCUAGCACACUUAAGAAUGCACCUACUACACAUGUGAGUCUCAGUGGUAGAAGUGGAAUUUUAAAAAGAGACACUGAACUUGAAAUCAAGACACUUAAAAUAUAGGAGUUCAAAGAAGUUUGAAGUAAUACAGCUGCCCCUAAAUCCUACUGCCAAUGUUUCUUGUGCUACCAACAACACAUUCCUUGGUCACUCCUCCUUCAUCUCCCUUCUUGCUGUGUGAAAUACACACACCAAAAACCAGGAGGAAAGCGACUAUAGUGAAAUCAUGAAAAUGACUAUGCAGAAAGAGGUCCAAAAUAGCUCAGAAUUUCAGGGAGUGCUGCAAGAUACAUCAUCUUAGGAGAGCUGCUGAAGAAGUGAAUAUUGGUUGGGGCAAUGUUUAGAGAAAAACAGGGCAUUUAUUUUUAUACUUCCUGGAUAUUUAGUAUUAUUUAUUUAUAAUACUAAAUAUCCAGGAAGUAUAAAAAUAAUUUUAAAAAAUUGUAUUUUUAAGCAUCUUAGAGACAUCUAAAUGCACAGAUAAUCACUGUGAUGUUGCAUCCCAUAAUGCUUUAUAGA